UACGUAGGGGGCAAGCGUUGUCCGGAAUCAUUGGGCGUAAAGAGCGUGUAGGCGGCCCGAUAAGUCCGCUGUGAAAGUCCAGGGCUCAACCCUGGAAUGCCGGUGGAUACUGUCGGGCUCGAGUUCGGAAGAGGUGAGUGGAAUUCCUGGUGUAGCGGUGAAAUGCGCAGAUAUCAGGAGGAACACCGGUGGCGAAGGCGGGUCUCUGGGCAACUACUGACGCUGAGGAGCGAAAGCGUGGGGAGCGAACAGG
rnacentral:rRNA from 1 species